rnacentral:rRNA from 1 species
CGGUGCGGCAGCUAUAAUGCAGUCGAGCGGACAGAAGGGAGCUUGCUCCCGGAUGUUAGCGGCGGACGGGUGAGUAACACGUGGGUAACCUGCCUGUAAGACUGGGAUAACUCCGGGAAACCGGAGCUAAUACCGGAUAGUUCCUUGAACCGCAUGGUUCAAGGAUGAAAGACGGUUUCGGCUGUCACUUACAGAUGGACCCGCGGCGCAUUAGCUAGUUGGUGAGGUAACGGCUCACCAAGGCGACGAUGCGUAGCCGACCUGAGAGGGUGAUCGGCCACACUGGGACUGAGACACGGCCCAGACUCCUACGGGAGGCAGCAGUAGGGAAUCUUCCGCAAUGGACGAAAGUCUGACGGAGCAACGCCGCGUGAGUGAUGAAGGUUUUCGGAUCGUAAAGCUCUGUUGUUAGGGAAGAACAAGUGCAAGAGUAACUGCUUGCACCAUGACGGUACCUAACCAGAAAGCCACGGCUAACUACGUGCCAGCAGCCGCGGUAAUACGUAGGUGGCAAGCGUUGUCCGGAAUUAUUGGGCGUAAAGGGCUCGCAGGCGGUUUCUUAAGUCUGAUGUGAAAGCCCCCGGCUCAACCGGGGAGGGUCAUUGGAAACUGGGAAACUUGAGUGCAGAAGAGGAGAGUGGAAUUCCACGUGUAGCGGUGAAAUGCGUAGAGAUGUGGAGGAACACCAGUGGCGAAGGCGACUCUCUGGUCUGUAACUGACGCUGAGGAGCGAAAGCGUGGGGAGCGAACAGGAUUAGAUACCCUGGUAGUCCACGCCGUAAACGAUGAGUGCUAAGUGUUAGGGGGUUUCCGCCCCUUAGUGCUGCAGCUAACGCAUUAAGCACUCCGCCUGGGGAGUACGGUCGCAAGACUGAAACUCAAAGGAAUUGACGGGGGCCCGCACAAGCGGUGGAGCAUGUGGUUUAAUUCGAAGCAACGCGAAGAACCUUACCAGGUCUUGACAUCCUCUGACACCCUAGAGAUAGGGCUUUCCCUUCGGGGACAGAGUGACAGGUGGUGCAUGGUUUGUCGUCAGCUCGUGUCGUGAGAUGUUGGGUUAAGUCCCGGCACGAGCGCACCUUUGAUCUUAGCGGCAGCAAUUCAGGUGGCACUCUUAAGUUGACCUGCGAUGUCAACAAUCGAGAAGGUGCGAUGAACCGG